GAAUUCAGUUAUUCUCCUCGACUCUCCCCCCAAAACCCUCUCCCCAAAUCCAUCAAUCUGUGUGAUCCUGUGAAAGGAUAGGAAGAGAGGAGAAAGGGUCUACUCUUCGCACUCCCUGCAGAUUCCGCAGUGCGAUCGGAUUAAAGACGGAGCCUGCAACAAUCUUGGAUCACGGUGCUGAGCAGAUCAAACAAGAUCUCUGAACGGAUGGCAUCAAAAGGUACGCAUCGUAUAAUUAGAUCUAUGUAUUGAAUUUCAAUCCUGGCAUAUAGGUUAAUUCCGCAUUAUUGAUUUAGCAUAAUUACAGAUU
rnacentral:lncRNA from 1 species